UUCACCAUUUAUUUUCUAGGGUUUUUGUUUGAAAACUUUGAAUUCGAACCCAAAAUCGGUGGGUAUCUCGAGCUUUAAUCAGUCUUAUUGUUUCAGUCCGAUCUCCUAAACUUAAAUGCUUUGUGCAAAGUUGUACAUUAAUCUGUGGUUAUUCGUUAUUCUGUGAAUAGGUUCCUAACAGGGGAUUCUGGAGGUUCAAAAAUGAAUAAACACCAACAGAAAAAAAAAAAAAAAGAGCAACUGUGUCAUCUAUGGUUCUCCUCAUCUUUGAAAUACCUGCGCGUUCUUCUUUGUUUAUGCUGAUCCAAUGCAUUGUCUUCAUCGACACAAGUUUCCAACCAUACGCCAUCAAGCUUCAUUGCAAGUCUUGAAUCCAAAGCUUGUUUGGUUGAUUUACUUACAAAUUUUUCCUUUUUUUUCAUAAGGAUUUUGAUUUAUCGGUAUGAAGCGUGUUACUCUCUUUUUGAUCUCUUGAACAUCUUCAGCGGAUUUCCGAUGGAUUUGAGAAGUCAUCAAAUCUAAGGAUCGAGACAUCGAGUUGUUGAUUCAUUUGCAUAAUUUUAUUCGAAUUUCUUGUAUGGUCUUUCUUUGGUCACCACUUGCUUCUCCUCCCCCGUUUUAUUUAUUUAUUUGUUCUGGUGUCUGGCCCAUGAACUGAACAAGGUACGG